rnacentral:rRNA from 1 species
AAUGAACGCUGGCGGCGCGCCUAAUACAUGCAAGUCGAGCGAGAAGACGUAGCAAUACGUUUGUAAAGCGGCGAACGGGUGAGGAAUACAUGGGUAACCUACCCUAGAGUGGGGAAUUACUAGCCGAAAGGUUAGCUAAUACCGCGUACGCUCCUUGGACUUCGGUUCAGGGAGGAAAGCGAUACCGAGGGUAUCGCGCUCUUGGAUGGGCUCAUGUCCUAUCAGCUUGUUGGUGAGGUAACGGCUCACCAAGGCUUCGACGGGUAGCUGGUCUGAGAGGACGAUCAGCCACACUGGCACUGCGACACGGGCCAGACUCCUACGGGAGGCAGCAGUAAGGAAUAUUGCGCAAUGGGCGAAAGCCUGACGCAGCGACGCCGCGUGGGGGAU